rnacentral:rRNA from 1 species
AACGAACGCUGGCGGCAUGCCUAACACAUGCAAGUCGAACGAGAUCUUCGGGUCUAGUGGCGCACGGGUGCGUAACGCGUGGGAAUCUGCCCUUUGGUUCGGAAUAACAGUUGGAAACGACUGCUAAUACCGGAUGAUGACGAAAGUCCAAAGAUUUGUCGCCAGAGGAUGAGCCCGCGUAGGAUUAGCUAGUUGGUGUGGUAAAGGCGCACCAAGGCGACGAUCCUUAGCUGGUCUGAGAGGAUGAUCAGCCACACUGGGACUGGGACACGGCCCAGACUCCUACGGGAGGCAGCAGUGGGGAAUAUUGGACAAUGGGCGAAAGCCUGAUCCAGCAAUGCCGCGUGAGUGAUGAAGGCCUUAGGGUUGUAAAGCUCUUUUACCCGGGAUGAUAAUGACAGUACCGGGAGAAUAAGCUCCGGCUAACUCCGUGCCAGCAGCCGCCGUAA